GGCUGGUGAUGUCUGUUUUUACAAUGGUUGUCACAUGCCCACCACGUACACUGCUGAGAAAGCCACUUGGCACAGCUAAUACCAGAAG